AGGUAUAUGGACAUAGGUACAUGAUAAAAGCCAGUUAGUAGUACAGCGAAAUUAAAAAAAAAUUAUAAUAUAAAUAUAAAAACUAAGAACAUUUAAACAUUUUAAUUGUAUCGGAUUAUACCUUUUUUGCAGCUAGACACAUUUACACCAAUUUUUUAAGAAAAUCAUGAGUUUUAAAAAUAUUCAAGAGGAAAGUUACUGCUAUAUAUUAUGAUAUCUGCAGGUUGACUGGACAUUUAAUGAUUGUAACUGGACAAUGCUCAAUAAACUAACUCUUUGUGGACCUGUGGACCGACAAAGAUAAACUAUGGUUUUUAGUUUCUUGUUAGUAAUUAGUAAUUACUAAUGAGAGAAUUACAUAAUGUUCAGGUCAUGGUACCAGUUGCGUUCAAGUCGUCUUGAUGGGUUCCCGUAUUUGAACUACAUGACUGAUUGGAAUUUGGAUUAAUGUUUUGCAUGUUAGUGUUUCAUAAAAAAAUGAAGCAGUUUCAUUGAUUGAAUCGGUUUUAAGUUUAGAUUUUAGGCAUUCUUUUGAGACAAACCAGAGAGUUUCGGAAAUCCAGCGGGAAAAUUACGCAGAGUACUUAAUGAAUUAAUAUUGUAUUAUAUGUUUUUUGUUGUAUCCGUAAGUAUAAAAAAUAAAAAUAAAAACAACCAACCGUGUGUCAAUACAACUGUGUCUGAGACCUGAGUAUAUGCCUGAAUGAUUAAAUUAUUGCAAGGAUUAAUAGGAAGGCAAAAUAACCUUUAUUCUCAUAUUUUUAAUGAUAAAGCUAGAUGAUUAUUACUGUGGUACUCAUUUUCUCUGUAAAAUUAAAGUGUUUUUUUAAAAUACAUUUUAACUUUUUACAUACUUAUUAAUAUCGUAUAAAAGC